rnacentral:sRNA from 1 species
UGUUAUUAUUAACAAUGUCAGUUCCUG